CAGCCGCCGCGGUAAUACGUAGGUGGCAAGCGUUGUCCGGAAUUAUUGGGCGUAAAGGGCUCGCAGGCGGUUUCUUAAGUCUGAUGUGAAAGCCCCCGGCUCAACCGGGGAGGGUCAUUGGAAACUGGGAAACUUGAGUGCAGAAGAGGAGAGUGGAAUUCCGCGUGUAGCGGUGAAAUGCGUAGAGAUGUGGAGGAACACCAGUGGCGAAGGCGACUCUCUGGUCUGUAACUGACGCUGAGGAGCGAAAGCGUGGGGAGCGAACAGGAUUAGAUACCCGUGUAGUCCCUGUCUCUUAUAC
rnacentral:rRNA from 1 species